rnacentral:rRNA from 1 species
UGGGCAUUGGGCGAAAGCCUGAUCAGCCUGCCGCGUGUGUGAAGAAGGCCUUUUGGUUGUAAAGCACUUUAAGUUGGGAGGAAGGGCAUUAACCUAAUACGUUGGUGUCUUGACGUUACCGACAGAAUAAGCACCGGCUAACUCUGUGCCAGCAGCCGCGGUAAUACAGAGGGUGCAAGCGUUAAUCGGAAUUACUGGGCGUAAAGCGCGCGUAGGUGGUUUGUUAAGUUGAAUGUGAAAUCCCCGGGCUCAACCUGGGAACUGCAUCCAAAACUGGCAAGCUAGAGUAUGGUAGAGGGUAGUGGAAUUUCCUGUGUAGCGGUGAAAUGCGUAGAUAUAGGAAGGAACACCAGUGGCGAAGGCGACUACCUGGACUGAUACUGACACUGAGGUGCGAAAGCGUGGGGAG